CAGUAUUCCAGCACCUCAUAUCAUAGCCUAAAGUGAUUGUGCUUGAUCUUCUAAGCCAGUCGGUAUUUUAUUUAAAAGGUGUUUCUCAGCAUUGAAGAUAAUAAUAAUAAGCAGCAACAUUGGCAUGGGAAACAAAUUUAAGACAACUUGAAUAUGGUAAAACAUCGUCGGGAGAUUUUGAUCUUACUAAAUACAGAGUAGCAUGCAGUAUGUGACUUUUGUUUUCGUUGUGCUACAGACAAUGGUGUAUCUAAUGUAAGUGGAGGGUGAAAAGUUUGUUCCCAUUAAGUAGCGAUCUAAUGAUAUGUGUACAGCAAAGGUUGCUCACCAGGAGAAGUACAAACCAUGUUCAGUUUUAACUAGUACAAAAAUUAUGCCCCUGCAUUACAGCACUCAUUAUAACAUAAAUUGCUACUGUUGUGUGAAUGCUACUGCCUGUGUUUAUGAUGCAAAGUAAGAUUAUCUUGAUUAUCUCUUGCUGCUUGGCAAACAUCACCACCUAGCUGCUUGCUUGCUUGAUUACCUCUCUAAGGCAGCUUCGUUUUGUUCUUCUUCUUCAUGUGCUACUUGCAGCAUCAAGGGGAUCUUCGACCGCUACCAGCAGACCACAGGGACCAGCGUGUGGAACGAGCAGUAUGAGCACACCUGCUUCAACGCCGACACCUCUGUCGUCAUCGCCUUCGAGGACGAUGAGGACACCGCAGGCGCCGUUGGCCUCGACGGCGGCUACCACCGCUACCACAUCGUCGUCACAUACCAGUUCCACAACGGCGUCCAGGCCGUCGAGUCCUUCUGCAGCUGCUGUCAUUGCUCCUUCCAUAGUUUGGGUGGGACUCGUCAGAUCGGCCUCCUAGUUUCCCAUUUCAGGGUGACUAGUGAUGCAGCACACCAAGAAGUAGCAGGCAUACCAAGCAGCAGCAGGGGAGGGGCUCUCUCGAACGUCGCUGCUGCCAGUCAUUGCUACUGUCACUAAUUGAUGAUGGAUGAUCGUUGUUAGUUUAGCUCGGUUGAUGUUCGUUUAGCUCCUUGAUAGUCCCUACCUCUCUUGCAAGCGUCUACUUCUGCUGGUAGAAAUAGAAAUGGUAGCUGUAGUCCCAUGUAGUUGUACUACCAUGUAGUUCCUCUACUCGGCAUGUAGUUCCUCUACUCGGCAUGUAGUUCCUCUACUCGGUCUGCCCUUUGUUGAUUCAUUUCUAUGUUACUUUAGUCUUUGUUGAAUGUA